rnacentral:tRNA from 1 species
GGCAACUUGGCCGAGUGGUUAUGGCGCUAGUUUCAGGUACUGAAACAGAAAGACAGUUUAGAGAAGUAAAAUCUUCUAUGUCUACUAGUGGAGCGAUCCGCGUGAGUUCGAGUCUCACAGUUGUCA